rnacentral:rRNA from 1 species
AGUGAACGCUGGCGGCAGGCCUAACACAUGCAAGUCGAGCGGCAGCGCGGGGGCAACCCUGGCGGCGAGCGGCGGACGGGUGAGGAAUUCGUCGGAAUCUGCCUUUUUGUGGGGGAUAACGUAGGGAAACUUACGCUAAUACCGCAUACGUCCUACGGGAGAAAGUGGGGGACCGCAAGGCCUCACGCAGAAAGAUGAGCCGACGACCGAUUAGCUAGUUGGUGGGGUAAAGGCCUACCAAGGCGACGAUCGGUAGCUGGUCUGAGAGGAUGAUCAGCCACACUGGGACUGAGACACGGCCCAGACUCCUACGGGAGGCAGCAGUGGGGAAUAUUGGACAAUGGGCGCAAGCCUGAUCCAGCCAUGCCGCGUGUGUGAAGAAGGCCUUCGGGUUGUAAAGCACUUUUGUCCGGAAAGAAAUCCCUGGAGCUAAUACCUUCGGGGGAUGACGGUACCGGAAGAAUAAGCACCGGCUAACUUCGUG